rnacentral:lncRNA from 1 species
GGGCAGAGGGCAGAGGGGCAGAGGGCAGAGGCAGAGAGGCAGGCAGAGGGCAGAGGGCAGAGGCAGAGAGGCAGGCAGAGGGCAGAGGCAGAGAGGCAGAGGCAGAGGGCAGAGGCAGAGAGGCAGAGAGGCAGAGGGUAGAGGCAGAGGGCAGAAGAAGAGGCAGAGGGCAGAGGCAGAGGGCAGAGGCAGAGGGCAGAGAGGCAGAGGCAGAGAGGCAGAGGGCAGAGGCAGAGGGCAGAAGAAGAGGCAGAGGCAGAGAAGCAGAGAGGCAGAGGGCAGAGGCAGAGGGCAGAGGCAGAGAGGCAGAGAGGCAGAGGGCAGAGGGCAGA